rnacentral:rRNA from 1 species
UGCAGAGGUCUCAAGCGUUGUUCGGAUUCAUUGGGCGUAAAGGGUGCGUAGGCGGCGCGGUAAGUCGGGGUGUGAAAUCUCGGGGCUUAACUCCGAAAUUGCAUUCGAUACUGCCGUGCUUGAGGACUGGAGAGGAGACUGGAAUUUACGGUGUAGCGGUGAAAUGCGUAGAUAUCGUAAGGAACACCAGUGGCGAAGGCGGCUACCUGGCCUGAUACUGACACUGAGGCACGAAGCGUGGGGAUCAAACAGG